rnacentral:rRNA from 1 species
UACGGAGGAUGCAAGCGUUAUCCGGAAUUAUUGGGCGUAAAGGGUCCGCAGGUGGCAGUGUAAGUCUGCUGUCAAAGAAUGAGGCUUAACCUUAUCAAGGCAGUGGAAACUACACAGCUAGAGUACGGUCGGGGUAGAAGGAAUUCCUGGUGUAGCGGUGAAAUGCGUAGAGAUCAGGAAGAACACCGGUGGCGAAAGCGUUCUGCUAGACCUGUACUGACACUGAGGGACGAAAGCUAGGGGAGCGAAUGGG